AUAUUACCGAGGGAUUGCUUCUCCUUGUUCCAGUACUGAAGAUGUGAUUUGCAAGGCUAUCAACUGUACAUCCAGGGUCCCAGCAGCAGGUCUGGAGAACAACUCCACAGCCCCAUGCCAGCUGGAAGGAGAAGCUGCUCUCUUUCCUGCUUCCCCUGUAUCCUUUUCCCUGAGGCUGUCGCACUGCUGCUGGUCCCAAACCAGGCUUCUUUCUGAGGAGAAGAACUACAGUGUCCAGUUUAAAGUGGCAAUGGUGUAUACCCUGGGCACUCGCUCAGAUACAGCACUGGGAAACUCCUCCCCGCAGACUCCACUUCUUCCUGUACUCAGAGUUCCCCAGAACUGUGCAACAUUGUACAAUUUAAGCAUCUGGGAUCAAGAUGGGGAUGUGGUGAGAUGCCGCUACGGGCUCAGAGAGGAGCUUGGCUGUGCUUUCUGCAAGAAGUCUCCUUUCCUCCAUUUGGAUGAGGUAAGUGGUCUCAUCUACUCUCACUACGGGUGGGAGUGGGCAGAGGCACCUUGACAGUUACCCGAGGUCAUUGUGACAGAACGGCCCAGGUCAGCAAUAAUGCAUUGUUAUAUCAUGACACAAGCAUAGAGGAAACGUUGUUUAACCAUGUGGGGAAACCCCAAAGGUGUA